UUAAGCGACUAAGCGUACACGGUGGAUGCCCUGGCAGUCAGAGGCGAUGAAGGACGUGCUAAUCUGCGAAAAGCGUCGGUAAGGUGAUAUGAACCGUUAUAACCGGCGAUGUCCGAAUGGGGAAACCCAGUGCAAUUCGUUGCACUAUCGUUAACUGAAUACAUAGGUUAACGAGGCGAACCGGGGGAACUGAAACAUCUAAGUACCCCGAGGAAAAGAAAUCAACCGAGAUUCCCCCAGUAGCGGCGAGCGAACGGGGAGCAGCCCAGAGUCUGAAUCAGCUUGUGUGUUAGUGGAACGGUCUGGAAAGUCCGACGGUACAGGGUGAUAGUCCCGUACACCAAAAUGCACAGGUUGUGAACUCGAAGAGUAGGGCGGGACACGUGGUAUCCUGUCUGAAUAUGGGGGGACCAUCCUCCAAGGCUAAAUACUCCUGACUGACCGAUAGUGAACCAGUACCGUGAGGGAAAGGCGAAAAGAACCCCGGCGAGGGGAGUGAAAAAGAACCUGAAACCGUGUACGUACAAGCAGUGGGAGCACCUUCGGGUGUGACUGCGUACCUUUUGUAUAAUGGGUCAGCGACUUAUAUUCUGUAGCAAGGUUAACCGUAUAGGGGAGCCGCAGGGAAACCGAGUCUUAACUGGGCGUUAAGUUGCAGGGUAUAGACCCGAAACCCGGUGAUCUAGCCAUGGGCAGGUUGAAGGUUGGGUAACACUAACUGGAGGACCGAACCGACUAAUGUUGAAAAAUUAGCGGAUGACUUGUGGCUGGGGGUGAAAGGCCAAUCAAACCGGGAGAUAGCUGGUUCUCCCCGAAAGCUAUUUAGGUAGCGCCUCGUGAAUUCAUCUUCGGGGGUAGAGCACUGUUUCGGCUAGGGGGUCAUCCCGACUUACCAACCCGAUGCAAACUACGAAUACCGAAGAAUGUUAUCACGGGAGACACACGGCGGGUGCUAACGUCCGUCGUGAAGAGGGAAACAACCCAGACCGCCAGCUAAGGUCCCAAAGUCAUGGUUAAGUGGGAAACGAUGUGGGAAGGCACAGACAGCCAGGAUGUUGGCUUAGAAGCAGCCAUCAUUUAAAGAAAGCGUAAUAGCUCACUGGUCGAGUCGGCCUGCGCGGAAGAUGUAACGGGGCUAAACCAUGCACCGAAGCUGCGGCAGCGACACUAUGUGUUGUUGGGUAGGGGAGCGUUCUGUAAGCCUGCGAAGGUGACCUGUGAGGGUUGCUGGAGGUAUCAGAAGUGCGAAUGCUGACAUAAGUAACGAUAAAGCGGGUGAAAAGCCCGCUCGCCGGAAGACCAAGGGUUCCUGUCCAACGUUAAUCGGGGCAGGGUGAGUCGACCCCUAAGGCGAGGCCGAAAGGCGUAGUCGAUGGGAAACAGGUUAAUAUUCCUGUACUUGGUGUUACUGCGAAGGGGGGACGGAGAAGGCUAUGUUAGCCGGGCGACGGUUGUCCCGGUUUAAGCAUGUAGGCUGAUUGUCCAGGCAAAUCCGGAUAAUCAAGGCUGAGGUGUGAUGACGAGGCACUACGGUGCUGAAGUAACAAAUGCCCUGCUUCCAGGAAAAGCCUCUAAGCAUCAGGUAACAUUAAAUCGUACCCCAAACCGACACAGGUGGUCAGGUAGAGAAUACCAAGGCGCUUGAGAGAACUCGGGUGAAGGAACUAGGCAAAAUGGUGCCGUAACUUCGGGAGAAGGCACGCUGGUGUGUAGGUGAAGCCCCUGCGGGUGGAGCUGAGACCAGUCGAAGAUACCAGCUGGCUGCAACUGUUUAUUAAAAACACAGCACUGUGCAAACACGAAAGUGGACGUAUACGGUGUGACGCCUGCCCGGUGCCGGAAGGUUAAUUGAUGGGGUUAUCCGUAAGGAGAAGCUCUUGAUCGAAGCCCCGGUAAACGGCGGCCGUAACUAUAACGGUCCUAAGGUAGCGAAAUUCCUUGUCGGGUAAGUUCCGACCUGCACGAAUGGCGUAAUGAUGGCCAGGCUGUCUCCACCCGAGACUCAGUGAAAUUGAACUCGCUGUGAAGAUGCAGUGUACCCGCGGCAAGACGGAAAGACCCCGUGAACCUUUACUAUAGCUUGACACUGAACAUUGAGCCUUGAUGUGUAGGAUAGGUGGGAGGCUUUGAAGCGUGGACGCCAGUCUGCGUGGAGCCAACCUUGAAAUACCACCCUUUAAUGUUUGAUGUUCUAACGUUGGCCCCUUAUCGGGGUUGCGGACAGUGUCUGGUGGGUAGUUUGACUGGGGCGGUCUCCUCCCAAAGCGUAACGGAGGAGCACGAAGGUUAGCUAAUCCUGGUCGGACAUCAGGAGGUUAGUGCAAUGGCAUAAGCUAGCUUGACUGCGAGCGUGACGGCGCGAGCAGGUGCGAAAGCAGGUCAUAGUGAUCCGGUGGUUCUGAAUGGAAGGGCCAUCGCUCAACGGAUAAAAGGUACUCCGGGGAUAACAGGCUGAUACCGCCCAAGAGUUCAUAUCGACGGCGGUGUUUGGCACCUCGAUGUCGGCUCAUCACAUCCUGGGGCUGAAGUAGGUCCCAAGGGUAUGGCUGUUCGCCAUUUAAAGUGGUACGCGAGCUGGGUUUAGAACGUCGUGAGACAGUUCGGUCCCUAUCUGCCGUGGGCGCUGGAGAAUUGAGGGGGGCUGCUCCUAGUACGAGAGGACCGGAGUGGACGCAUCACUGGUGUUCGGGUUGUCAUGCCAAUGGCACUGCCCGGUAGCUAAAUGCGGAAGAGAUAAGUGCUGAAAGCAUCUAAGCACGAAACUUGCCCCGAGAUGAGUUCUCCCUGAGACUUUAAGUCUCCUGAAGGAACGUUAAAGACGAUGACGUUGAUAGGCCGGGUGUGUAAGCGCAGCGAUGCGUUGAGCUAACCGGUACUAAUGAACCGUGAGGCUUAACCUU
rnacentral:rRNA from 1 species